GGUAAAAUUCACCUUGGGUUCUGGGUUACACUCAGCUGGGACUAAAUAAAUAAAAUAUUGGAGGCUCUGAAGCAUCCCAUCAAGGUAAAAUUCA